rnacentral:rRNA from 1 species
AUUGAACGCUGGCGGCAGGCCUAACACAUGCAAGUCGCGCGGAGCGGCAGUCGGGUGAGUAAAGCCUAGGAAUCUGCCUGGUAGUGGGGGCUAACGGCAGGAGACGGGCGCUAAUACCGCAUACUAUCGGAGGAGCAUCGUUCGGAUUAGCUGGUUGGUGGGGUAAAGGCCUACCAAGGAGACGAUCCGCAACUGGUCUGAGCGGAUGAUCAGUCACACUGGAACUGAGACACGGUCCAGACUCCUACGGGAGGCAGCAGUGGGGAAUAUUGGACAAUGGGCGAAAGCCUGAUCCAGCCAUGCCGCGUGGGUGAAGAAGGUCUUCGGAUUGUAAAGCACUUUAAGUUGGGAGGCGUUACCAACAGAAUAAGCACCGGCUAACUUCGUGCCAGCCGCCGCGGUAAUUC